rnacentral:lncRNA from 1 species
GCUGGCGUGAGAUGAGGGUCUUCGGUGGAGCUUCGGAGGUCAACAAAUUGGCUUCACUUGGAGAAUUCUGCUGCAGUUGACCGAGGGAAACCAAAAAAUGGUGGAGCAGCUGGCGUGAGAUGAGCGCUAGAGUUCGAAUGGUGGAGGAGAAGGGCAGAAAGAGAGAGAGAGAGAGGAGCUGUGGCGUCCAGAGAGAAAGGAAAAUGAAAACAAACGCUGCACGGUCUUCGAAGGAAAGAAAAGAGAGAGAAGGAGACUGACUUGGAGAGAGAACGAACGGAUCAGGGAGAGGGACGCGUGAGGCUUGCUCGAGAAGCCGUGGGUGAGGGGGAAGAAAG